AAAAAACUUGCUUUCCCUCUCUAUUGUCUCGCUUUAGGAACUCAUUGGAGGCGCUCUGGUCAUACAUGAAAUUACUGGGGUAUUAAGAUCUCAUGCUUCGACAGACGAUAUUGUUGGGGCAUGAAGCCUGCGGGCAUCUCAACCAUUAUUUUGCUUCCAUCCGAAACGCCUUCUCUACGUAGAAAACAAUAAAAGUAAAGUGUCUCGAAAAGGACAAGGUUGUCAGGAUGGACCAAAACUCGACUUACUUGGCAUUAGGAUGGCUUUUCUUGACUUUCGUCAAAUCCUUCGGAGAGCGGAACACAACGGUGCCCACAUUCUCCCGGGCAGCCACUUUCAAAUGCGAAGCCACCAACAUGGAAUUCUCCAGGAUGAUGUCCUCACCGGGGAUCCCGGCCUUGACCACCUUGGCAAUUUCGUCCUUGUUCUUGCAAACGAAAGAGCAACCUCGACCCUGGAACAUCUGGAGCACAAGCUCCUGACCAUUUUGAAAGACAUC